CACGUAGGGUGCAAGCGUUGUCCGGAAUUAUUGGGCGUAAAGGGCUCGUAGGCGGUCCGUCACGUCGGGAGUGAAAACUCAGGGCUCAACCCCGAGCCUGCUUUCGAUACGGGCGGACUAGAGGUAGGUAGGGGAGAACGGAAUUCCUGGUGUAGCGGUGGAAUGCGCAGAUAUCAGGAGGAACACCGGUGGCGAAGGCGGGUCUCUGGGCCGUAACUGACGCUGAGGAGCGAAAGCAUGGGGAGCGAACAGG
rnacentral:rRNA from 1 species